rnacentral:rRNA from 1 species
CCUACGGGUGGCAGCAGUGGGGAAUAUUGGACAAUGGGGGCAACCCUGAUGCAGCGACGCCGCGUGAAGGAUGAAGGAUUUCGGGAUGUAAAGCUCUAUCAUCAGGGAAGAAAAUGACGUUACCUGACUAGGAAGCCCCGGCUAACUACGUGCCAGAAGCCGCGGUACUACGUCGGGGGCAAGCGUUAUCCGGAUUUACUGGGUGUAAAGGGAGCGUAGACGGCUUGGCAAGCCAGAUGUGAAAGGCUGGGGCUCAACCCCAGGACUGCAUUUGGAACUGUCAUGCUAGAGUGUUGGAGAGGCAGGCGGAAUUCCUAGUGUAGCGGUGAAAUGCGUAGAUAUUAGGAGGAACACCAGUGGCGAAGGCGGCCUGCUGGACGAUGACUGACGUUGAGGCUCGAAAGCGUGGGGAGCAAACAGGAUUAGAUACCCUAGUAGUC